AGGAAGGAAAAAAAGAGGGGGUGGGUGGGGGAGAACUGCAAAAUGCAUAUGCCUUCAAUCUGCUUGUCACCAUUAAUUUCUCUUUCUGCAGGUUAACAAAUGGUACAUGGAAUUAGCACUUCUUACUUUCCAUGUGAUUUCUUGUGAUCUUUUCUUUUAUGAGUUUCUAAAUCCAAAAUAGCUUGUAAGGAUUUGCAGUAUCAUUCCUAAGCUUGGCAUUCUUAUGCUCUUUGAUGGCCUUUCACAGCAAAGUCUGUUCAUGGAAAGAGAAGAAAGUGCAAGCACAAGAGAUAGCAUUCUGUAGGAGAACUUUCCACUAGCACUAAAGAGAAGAACAAGGCUUCAUCCUUCGAAAGAAGAAGA
rnacentral:lncRNA from 1 species